AAGCAGGCUGCCAAGGCCGCGUCCAAGGCGGUGAAGAAGGCUUCGGGCUCCGGCGCUGGCAGGCCGCUGUGGUUCCCCGGCGCGCAGGCGCCCGAGUGGCUGGACGGAUCCCUCCCCGGAGACUACGGAUUCGACCCCUUGAGCCUGGGCAAGAGCCCGGAGUACCUGCAGAUUGAGCUGGACUCGCUGAACCAGAACCUGGCCAAGAACGAGGCCGGAGAUGUGAUCGGAACCCGCAUCUCGAAGAAGGAGGAGAUCGCCCCAACCCCGUUCCAGCCGUACAGCGAGGUGUUCGGCCUGCAGAGGUUCAGGGAAUGCGAGCUGAUCCACGGGCGCUGGGCCAUGCUUGCCAUAUUGGG
rnacentral:lncRNA from 1 species